GUAGGUGGCAAGCGUUGUCCGGAUUUAUUGGGUGUAAAGAGUGCGUAGACGGGAUGGCAAGUUGGUUGUGAAAUCCCUCGGCUCAACCGAGGAACUGCAACCAAAACUACUAUUCUUGAGUGCUGGAGGGGAAAGUGGAAUUCCUAGUGUAGCGGUGAAAUGCGUAGAUAUUAGGAGGAACAUCAGUGGCGAAGGCGACUUUCUGGACAGUAACUGACGUUGAGGCACGAAAGUGUGGGGAGCAAA
rnacentral:rRNA from 1 species